GUGUCUGUUUCCUGCCCUA
rnacentral:miRNA from 1 species